rnacentral:rRNA from 1 species
CGUGAGCAAUCUGCCCAUACCAGGGGAAUAACACAUAGAAAUGUGUGCUAAUACCGCAUAAGACCACAGAGAGGCAUCUCUCAGUGGUAAAAGAUUUAUCGGGUAUGGAUGAGCUCGCGUCCCAUUAGAUAGUUGGUGAGGUAACGGCCCACCAAGUCUGCGAUGGGUAGCCGACCUGAGAGGGUGAUCGGCCACAUUGGAACUGAGAAACGGUCCAG